UAGCACUUUAGAGGAAGUUCUGGCCUGGUC
rnacentral:piRNA from 1 species